ACGAACGCUGGCGGCGUGCCUAACACAUGCAAGUCGAACGGGGCCAGGGGCAACUCUGGUUCAGUGGCGGACGGGUGCGUAACACGUGAGGAACAUGACCUUGGCGGGGGAGUAGCCGGCCCAACGGCCGGGUAAUACCGCGUACGACCAUUCGGGGACGAUCCCUGGAUGGUGAAAGCAGCAAUGCGCCGAUGGAGUGCCUCGCGGCCUAUCAGCUAGUUGGUGAGGUAACGGCNCACCAAGGCAACGACGGGUAGCUGGUCUGAGAGGAUGGCCAGCCACAUUGGGACUGAGACACGGCCCAGACUCCUACGGGAGGCAGCAGUGGGGAAUAUUGCGCAAUGGACGAAAGUCUGACGCAGCGACGCCGCGUGUGGGAUGACGGUC
rnacentral:rRNA from 1 species